AGACAUCUAGGAUGUGUGUGAGAGUCGCGGUGGCAGGGUUGGGUUGGGAAGCCAUAGUGCAGGGCCACCAGGGGCAGUAUUGAGAAACACUUUAAAACACCUACAAACAUUUGACAGUGAGGGACAGCUUUUACACAACUGGCAUGGCUACAAUUCUCAGAAAUAUUAAUGUUGUCCAUUAUUCAGUAGCUUCCCGGAGAGAGAUCUUCAUGUGUUUUGCCCACAACAAAACUUUGUAAGUUAUUUAAUAAAAUAUUGUUAAAACAACAUGCACAAGUGUUUUGUAGAAUAAUUUAUCAUUUAAAUUAUAUUAAAUUAAAUGUCAAAUUCCACAUGUAAUUUCAGGUGUUGUAUGUUGGUCUGGAGCAGGUGGAACCUUCAUAAAGAUGAUUAAGAGUAGGAAUGCUCUUGAAAGCUUUUGGAAACAACUAGAACCACCUCCAGACUGCAUACAACACUUUAAGGCAAACACAUCUCUCUUCGUUAAAUCUCUUUCUGGCGGUUCGAAUGCCAGAGCGGACUCAGUGGAACAGUACACAAGCAGUGCGAGCAACUGAAAUUGUUAACUGCAACUGACCCACAAAGACUGCCUUGCUAAAGACAACGCAGGGCCGUCCUUAGGGUGGUGCCACACUGGGCCCCAAGGUUUAGGGAAUGGACCGAUUGGGCAGUUUGCCCCCAACCCCAACCUGGCCUCACACUGGGUCCACGCUAGCUUGGGAUGACACUGGCACGACG